rnacentral:rRNA from 1 species
AUGGAGAGAAGCGCGGGUGGCGGCGACGAUUCGGCGAGGGCCGUCGGCAUGUGUGACCGACUCCUGACCUUCCUCGCCAAGAACCUGUCGAUGAACAGGCCGAGGAGCAUCACCGAGGGGCCAAGAGACGCCGGCGCCGGCCGCGAUCACAGGAAUCACGCAGAGGAGGAAGACGACGAGUUCGCUGUGAAGAUCGAGAAGGCCGAGUACGAGUUCAGCCACGAGGAAGAAGGCCACAGGAGCUUCACGGCCACCAUCCUAGAAGAGACAACUGCUGAUGUGAGAGCAAGUGAUCAGCACAAGGAGGCCACGGGGGAAGCCGGCCAUCAGGUGGAGGCGACGGAAGCGGGCGCGGCGGCUGUGCAGGAGAAGAAGCCGAGGAGGACCGUGACCAUCAAGGAGGAGGCCGGCGGCGUCAAGGACAAGGCCAAGAAGUCGCUGUCAAUGAAGAGGCAAUCGUCGUCGUUGAGCGGCGGCGGCCAGGUGGUCGGGGCAGGAGGGGAGGACCCGGUACCGAAGCCGCCGCUGAGGUGGGGGCUCCGGCCGAGGAUGCCGGCGGCGAACCUGAGGGUGCCGUCCAACAUCAAUGAGAAGUCGUCCAACUUCAUUGAGGAGCGCAGGAGGGGCUUCGGCGCCGGCUGCAAGCCGGGGAAAUGA